rnacentral:rRNA from 1 species
UACGUAGGGGGGCAAGCGUUGUCUGGAAUUAUUGGGCGUAAAGCGCGCGCAGGCGGUCAAUUAAGUUGGGUGUUUAAGCCCGGGGCUCAACCCCGGUUCGCAUCCAAAAACUGGUUGACUUGAGUGUAGGAGAGGAAAGUGGAAUUCCACGUGUAGCGGUGAAAUGCGUAGAGAUGUGGAGGAACACCAGUGGCGAAGGCGACUUUCUGGCCUAUAACUGACGCUGAGGCGCG